rnacentral:tRNA from 1 species
CCCCUGGUAACUCAAUUGGUUAGAGUAGUCGGCUCAUAAUCGAAAAGCUGUAGGAUCAUGCCCUACCCAGGGGA